rnacentral:lncRNA from 1 species
CUAAAACCUAAUCACCUGGGAUUAAACACAUAACAUAACAUAUAUAUUUCCAUUUCUAGGAAUAUGCCAUGUAGCUGAGUGGAAGAAAUUUGACUGCAAGCAAAGAAGACCAUGAAUACAGUUGCUGGUUCAAGCAUGGUUUGUUUUGUGCUGUACAACAUAGGGAGUCAUUUAAGGGAAGCAGACUGGAACAGAAGGAAGAUCAAUGAAGAGAUAAUUAACUUGCAGUGUAGAUACGAAGAUGGAAGCACGCCAAACUGAAAAAUACAAAGUCUUCAAAAGAACUUGGCAGCCAUUUCCAAGUAAGAAGCGUGUCUUGAUACAGUACUCAGGAGCAGCUUGCAAAUAGUCCUGGAAAAGAAAGGAAAUUUAAUUUCACGUCCUUAGUAUAAUAGGACAGCGCACAAUACAAGGACAGCGAAAUCUCCACUGGAGGAGGUAGUCCCCUCAAUUAUACAACUGCAACUGCAAGUAGAAUAUUUGCAUCUGAAAUACUUUUAUGACCUGUCCUAUGAGCUCUGCUGAGAAUUGCCUCGAGGAGGUACCCCUGACUCUUUCCUGGUCCCACAAAAAGCAGUCAGCUGGCUCCAUGGAGCUUCUCUGCACUGAAGAAUCCCAGUGACCUUCUUCGCUCGGGAAAGAGGUAAGAGACAUAUUAAAUAGUAUGCUAGUCUAAAAACAAAUUGCAAAGAGAAACAACAAGCAAUGCACUAUUCUGUUCAAAGACAGACAACAGAAAGUAUGCAAAGAGUUACAGAAGCUAAACAUAAG